UACAGAGGAGGCAAGCGUUAUUCGGAAUUAUUGGGCGUAAAGGGCGCGUAGGCGGCCUGGCAAGUGGAAGGUGAAAUCCCUCGGCUUAACCGAGGAACUGCCUCCCAAACUGCUUGGCUUGAGACCAGGAGAGGUGAGUGGAAUUCCCAGUGUAGCGGUGAAAUGCGUAGAUAUUGGGAGGAACACCAGUGGCGAAGGCGGCUCACUGGACUGGUACUGACGCUGAGGCGCGAAAGCGUGGGGAGCAAACGGG
rnacentral:rRNA from 1 species